GCGCUCGUAGCUCAACGGAUUAGAGCGUUGGUCUUCGGAACCAAAGGUUGGGAGUUCGAAUCUCCCCGAGCGCGCCA
rnacentral:tRNA from 1 species